AUACAGAGGGUGCGAGCGUUAAUCGGAAUUACUGGGCGUAAAGCGCGCGUAGGCGGCUUAUUAAGUCAGAUGUGAAAUCCCCGGGCUCAACCUGGGAACUGCAUCUGAUACUGGUAAGCUAGAGUUUUGGAGAGGGAAGUAGAAUUUCAGGUGUAGCGGUGAAAUGCAUAGAGAUCUGAAGGAAUACCAGUGGCGAAGGCGACUUCCUGGCCAAAAACUGACGCUGAGGUGCGAAAGCGUGGGUAGCAAACGGGAUUAGAAACCCCAGUGUCC
rnacentral:rRNA from 1 species